rnacentral:rRNA from 1 species
UGGGGGAUAUUGCACAAUGGGGGAAACCCUGAUGCAGCGACGCCGCGUGAGGGAAGAAGGUUUUCGGAUUGUAAACCUCUGUCUUUGGUGACGAGAAUGACGGUAGCCAAGGAGGAAGCCACGGCUAACUACGUGCCAGCAGCCGCGGUAAUACGUAGGUGGCAAGCGUUGUCCGGAAUUACUGGGUGUAAAGGGAGCGUAGGCGGGGCAGCAAGUUGGACGUCAAAUCUAUCGGCUCAACCGGUAGCAGCGUUCAAAACUGCAGCUCUUGAGUGGAGUAGAGGUAAGCGGAAUUCCUAGUGUAGCGGUGAAAUGCGUAAAUAUUAGGAGGAACACCAGUGGCGAAGGCGGCUUACUGGGCUUUAACUGACGCUGAGGCUCGAAAGCGUGGGUAGCAAACAGG